UGCAAAAUAUGCUGACAUAGGAUAAGUUAGUUUUUCUGAGUCUGCUUGUUUUGCUGAAUUUGUGGUUUAACUACAUGUUAUGGCCUGUGAGUAAUACUUACAAAUUUACAUUGAAAAGUCAUGUUUUUGGAUCCAUCAUAAAAAAUUGCAAGCCGGGGUCUUUCUAUCCCUCUCUAGAUUGAAUCGGGUUUGCCGAGUGUUAUAAUUUCUUUUAUCAUGACAACACGUAUCAUGAAUAGGCCAGAUUGGCCUACAGGGGUCUACGGCAUAGUCUACAUAGGCUCAGUUCAGUCAACCUAUUACUUUAAAUCAACCAGGGAAAAACGUUUUUAUAAGUCUAUUUAGCUAAAAGAUCUUUUAGUCCUACUAAGUCGGCCUAUUUAAGUUAUUUUGAAUAAAAAAUUUACUAUGAUUAUUAUUAUAUAUUAAAUUUUGUACUUUGCAAUUAAAUUAUAAAUCUAUUAUCUAUCCGUAGUUUAAGUGUUUUUUUUUUUUUAAAUGAGUUUAAAUUUUUUAAUCUACAUUAAUUUUUCACAUAUAUAAAUAUAUUAUAAAUUAGAAUUGAAAUAUGAUAGUCAAAUUCUCUAAAAUAUCAUGUUAAAUAUCAAAAGAAAGUUUAAUCUCAUUGGUGUAUUAGUUCAAUAGUAUAUUUAAAAAUAAGUAUAUUUAAAUAUGUUCAUAUGAAAUAGAUUUUUAAACAGCCUUUCAAAAGGCCAAGCUCAGACCUAAAAGAUAAGUCUAUGAUAAGUCACAGACUAGGCUCAAGCCUUUAAUUUGUUGACAGGCCUAGACUUGACAAAGUCUAUCUCGACCUAGCCUAUUCCCAACUCUUAUGAUUAUGUGAUCAUUUUACUCCUUUCAUGCAUACACAGACAAAACGUCAUGUUAAUUAUUUUUUUUACAAUGGUCUUGUUAAAUUAAUCUCAAAAAGUCUGGAAUUAUUUUUUUUUGAACAACUAGUAUAUUGUUAAUUAAUACUUGUCCAAAUUAAAUAUGAAUUACCACAAAAAAGUAAAGGUUUAACUGCAUAUUUAGUCUCUUAUGUUUAUUUUAGGUUUUAAUUUGGUCCCUUAAGUUUUAAAAGUUUCAAGUUAGUCCCUUAUGUUAUUGAUAUCAACAUAAGUUCGUCCUUUUUGUUAAAUUGAGUUAAUUUCUUAUCACUUUUUGUUAAAUUUUGAGUUUCUUUCUUCUAAAACUUUCACAUAGUACCGUUCGAAGUUGUCUGCGUACGCAAAUCUAUUAGCUACAUAGACGAUUUAAUUAUUUAAACAAAAAUUUGCCGAAAAAGAUUAAAUUGAAACUUUUUAAACGCAAGGAACCAAAUUGAAACAUAAAAUAAACAUAAGGGACCAAAUAUGCAAUUAAGCCAAAAGUAAAUUAUAAUAAAAGAAAUGUAACAAAAUUAAAAAAAUAAAAAUUGAAUAAAAAAUAAUCCCUUACCAUGCUUUUAUCAAUUACCCUCCCCCCUUUAUUUUUUUCAGCUUUUCCUCUUUACUAAUAUAAUUUACCCGUACCAAAAGCACGGGUUAGUAUUCAGUAUUCACUAAUGAAAAUCUAUCCGUUUUGUUUUUUUUUUUUCAUAAUUUUUGUUUACUUUGAAUAAUAUGACACUAAGCGUGAUAAAACUUAAUUUCCAAAUUUUAACAUAUAAAACUCAUAAGUUUUUACUUCUAUAUAGUUAAUUUCCGUGUCUUAUAUUUUAAAUAUUAUAUCUAAGGAAUAUUAGUAAAUAAUAAAUAAUAUUCUGCAUUCGUCAACCAUCAUCAUAUUUAAACUCAAAGCACUUUAAAUUCCUAAGUUUCAACAUCACAAGCAAACUUAAACCAAAAACCUAAAUUUUUCUAGCAUAUUCAUCAUCAACCUAAAAUAACUCUAAUCUCUAAAUUCAAUAAAAUUAUAAAUCAAUAAACUUCUAGAAUUCAAAGAACCUGGACUGGAGCAAGGCAAAGAGAAUGUUGCCUUCGUUUGGGAUGACCAAACAGUUAGCAUUUAGCUUAUCAGCUCAUUUGAUUAAAUUAGCCCUGUUUGGUAACGACGAGCUUUUAGCGUCUUUUCUUUACUUCUUUUAUUUUAUUGUUUCCUUCUAUAUAGAAGAGAAAGAGAUUAGCUUGUAGUAGGGUUGGGUUAAAUAAAUUUGAAAUGGGGAUGAAUCACAAAGUUUUUGGAGACAUAUUUGCUAGUUUUGUUUCGGGAAUUCCUGGUUUGAGGAGGGAUAAGGAUUUGCCUUCUGAUCGUGUCUUUAACAAACGAAAGAGGGUUCUUGAACGGUAUUACGGGCGUCCUUUCUAGUUGAGGUAGGUUUCCUCGCAUAUCAAUGAACUUGUUAGGGUUGAUUCUUAUAAUCCUGACCCUUCUCCUCCUCUUUUUUAUAGCGACUCGCCUUCAAAAAUGGGUCGCAAGAAGCCAUAAAUUGUUCUUCCUCCUAACGUUAUAGAGCUUAAAUGGGUCGUUCCCGACAUUUUGGGGGUGCCUCUAAAUAUAGUACCCGUAAAUCUUCAGAUAAUCUGAACGUGAACAUGGGUUCGUCUAACGAUUGGGGUCUCUCUCAAGUAUUUAGUGAUUGCAGACUCUAUAGUCAUUUCUCUGGGACAUGUUCCAUACCUAUGUACAAGAUCCUUUUUGAUGUAUGUAAUGCAUGUUCAUUUUCCCUUUUCUGAUUUUGAAGUAGUUAUUCAUAAUCAUUAUUCUAUAUUUCCUUCUCAACUUUUUCCCUCAUCUUGGGCUCAGAUCAAAGCUUUUCAGUAUUGAUGUCAUUGGGAGGAGGGGGACGCCCACCAUUCAGUUAUUUCUUCACAUUUUUUGUGUUCUCCGAUUGAAAGUUGAUACUAAUAAGGCUCGGUCUUUUAUUUAUUUUAAGCAAAUAAUAACUUUGUUCGAGAUAUAUCUAGAUUUGAUGAAGUGGGACUGUACUGAGUAUUUUUUAGUGAAUCCUCUUAAUGCUGAUGAAUGUAAUUGUUUGUGCUUUCUCGAUGAUGUUGAGGGUGUUACUCCCUCUUCCUUUGGUCAGAAAGAUGAGUCCUCUAAAGGUAUAGUUUGGUCAUUCAAAUUAUGAAACUGCAAUUUCUGGCAGUUUUGCUUCAUAAUUCUAACUGAUAAGUGUUUUCCCGUUUCUCAUCUAUUCAUCUGACUAAACGCAUGAUAAGCUAGCCAG
rnacentral:lncRNA from 1 species